AUUUUGUCCGCUAGGCGGUGCUCGACAUGGACAAUUCGUCGUUUUCGUUUUCCAUCGUUUCCUAUUGUUUUUUGGUUUCUUCAGUGAAUUAUAAGUAAUUAUUAGUUAUUUUCAUUUGUUUUUGCAACUUUUUACAUAUUUCAACACGUUUUUGAUAUUAUUUUCAAGUAUAAAUUGAAUAAAUUACAACAAAAGAUUGAAAGUCCAAAUUGCAUAUUGAGAAUAAAUAUCGAGAAAAUGAGUGAAGAAGUUUAUAAAUUGGAAAAAUAUUAUAUAAAUUGAAAGUUUUUGAUAAAAAUGAAUCGACACAAUUUUCUAUGGCGGAAUGAAAAAAAGGUGUUCCUGAAAGAAGAAUUUUCAAUGACAAUUAGUGUUCGACUGAUAUUGGAAUAUUUUGAAGCCAGUGGCUGCUAUUUUUUACUCUUGAAGAUAUAACUGGAUAAUUCUUUAAUUUAUUGACAACAUGGUGUUCCUGAAAGAAGAAUUUUCAAUGACAAUUAUUGUUCGACUGAUAUUGGAAUAUUUUGUAGCCAGUGGCUGCUAUUCUUUACUCCUGAAGAUAAAAUUGGAUAAUUCUUUAAUUUAUUGACAACAUGGUUAUUCUGGAAGAAAUAAUUUUGAUGACAAAUUGAGUUCUGAUUGGAAUCAAAUGCAGUUUUCGUUGACAUGAAACUGAAUAAUUCUUCAUUUUAACAACAACAUGGAGCAUCCUGUCCUUCCACUAUACCUGUGAUGAUUCUAUCCUUGUGGUGUCACGUGUACUUCAAAGAUAAAGGCUUGACUUGAAGGACACAGAAUUCACACAGACUUUUUAGAACUUGGUCUAUUUUUACGGUUAUUUUUCACAUUUUCUAAAUGGAAAUUUAACUUGAAAGUAGGGAUCUCCGAGGGCUAUUUAGUUUGAAAGGAUCUCAUUGAUGCUGAAAAUUCAUCAUUAAGGGUAGAAUACAGUGGAAAAUUAAAAUCGCAACCAAUAAUGGCAGAGUAAUAGCAGUUAAGCCCCAAAGAAAAUCAUCGAACGUUAUUAGUGCCCAAAUGAAUCAAAAGGACCGGAAGGAUGAUGGAGGAUAAACAACUAUGGAAAUAUAAAUCCUACGACGUGGGAUUCUCCAAUCGACCCAUCAUCGACAAUGGUAAACGAUUCAUCAACCGUAUAGCAAGAGUCUGACAGCUCAUAAAACUCCAGACAUGUUGAAUCGGUGUUGGAGGUCACUACAUGAGCGUCGGUAUCGAUACAUUUUUGAAAAGUGCAUUCCCGCGUCAAUUUCGUCGUUAAGACCACGUGUUCGCGACGUUAUUUUAUUUCAAUAUUUUUACAUAAGUAAAUUUUUAUCUAUCGGGAGUGCUCGUAUUUCUUAAACCCGCGAUCGAGUGAUAUGUUAAUUUUUUUAAAAAAUGUACUUUUGAGUUAAUUUUAAUUAAAAUAAUUUUUUAUCGGGAGUAUUGGUAAUUAUUUAAAACCGCGAUCGUUUAAUUAGAAAAAAAGAAGUUUUAAUUAUUAAACACGUGGUUCGGGAGUGUCCAAAAAAUUUUUAAAUCGCGAGUGAGUAUUUUUUUUUUGUGCCAAUUUCUGGAAAACAUCGUUCGAGUGCCGCUUCGGGAUGAAGAUCGGGCAUGGGCGAAGGGUGUCCACGACUGAAGGACAGGAAGGAGGAUGCAGAGAAAGCAUGGCCCCUGCAUAGUUUCCCGGUCUCCCCGUAUCGAAGAGGGGCCACUGGGGAACUGGUCCAGAAGAGGCGAUGCUGCCAUCGCUCCGUCGAGGGAAUUCGCGAUC